AUUGAACGCUGGCGGUAUGCCUUACACAUGCAAGUCGAACGGCAGCACGGGGCAACCUGGUGGCGAGUGGCGAACGGGUGAGUAAUGCAUCGGAACGUACCUUUCAGUGGGGGAUAACGUAGCGAAAGUUACGCUAAUACCGCAUAUUCUGUUAGCAGGAAAGCAGGGGAUCGCAAGACCUUGCUCUGAUUGAGCGGCCGAUGUUUGUUUAUCUAGUUGGUGAGGUAAAGGCUCACCAAGGCGACGAUCUGUAGCGGGUCUGAGAGGAUGAUCCGCCACACUGGAACUGAGACACGGUCCAGACUCCUACGGGAGGCAGCAGUGGGGAAUUUUGGACAAUGGGGGCAACCCUGAUCCAGCCAUGCCGCGUGAGUGAAGAAGGCCUUCGGGUUGUAAAGCUCUUUCGGCCGGGAAGAAAUCGCACGGGCUAAUACCCCGUGUGGAUGACGGUACCGGAAUAAGAAGCACCGGCUAACUACGUGCCAGCCGCCGCCGUAAAAC
rnacentral:rRNA from 1 species